GACACGGCCCAGACUCCUACGGGAGGCAGCAGUGGGGAAUAUUGGACAAUGGGCGCAAGCCUGAUCCAGCCAUACCGCGUGUGUGAAGAAGGCCUUCGGGUUGUAAAGCACUUUAAGCAGGGAGAAAAAGUUAUAAGCUAAUACCUUAUAACCUUGAUGUUACCUGCAGAAUAAGCACCGGCUAAUUCCGUGCCAGCAGCCGCGGUAAUACGGAAGGUGCAAGCGUUAAUCGGAAUUACUGGGCGUAAAGCGCGCGUAGGUGGUUUGUUAAGUUGGAUGUGAAAGCCCUGGGCUCAACCUAGGAACUGCAUCCAAAACUAACUCACUAGAGUACGAUAGAGGGAGGUAGAAUUCAUAGUGUAGCGGUGGAAUGCGUAGAUAUUAUGAAGAAUACCAGUGGCGAAGGCGGCCUCCUGGAUCUGUACUGACACUGAGGUGCGAAAGCGUGGGUAGCGAACAGGAUUAGAUACCCUGGUAGUCCACGCCGUAAACGAUGACAACGAGCUGUUAGGAGACUAUGUCUUUUAGUGGCGCAGCUAACGUUUUAAGUUGUCCGCCUGGGGAGUACGGCCGCAAGGCUAAAACUCAAAUGAAUUGACGGGGACCCGCACAAGCAGUGGAUCAUGUGGUUUAAUUCGAUGCAACGCGAAAAACCUUACCUACUCUUGACAUACUUGGAAGCUCUUGUAAUGAGAGUGUGCUUUUAAGAACCAAGAUACAGGUGCUGCAUGGCUGUCGUCAGCUCGUGUCGUGAGAUGUUCCGUUAAGUCGGAUAACGAGCGCAACCCUUACCCUUAUUUGCCAGCGAUUCGGUCGGGAACUAUAAGGGGACUGCCGGUGAUAAACCGGAGGAAGGUGAGGACGACGUCAAGUCAU
rnacentral:rRNA from 1 species